GAUGAAGAACGUAGCGAAAUGCGAUAAGUAAUGCGAAUUGCAGAAUUCCAGUGAAUCAUCGAAUCUUUGAACGCACAUUGCGCCCGCCAGUAUUCUGGCGGGCAUGCCUGUUCGAGCGUCAUUUCAACCCUCAAGCUCUGUCUUGCGCUUGGUGUUGGGGAUCGGCCCUGCCCGCCAGCCCGGGCGGGCCGCCCCCGAAAUGAAUCGGCGGUCUCGUCGCAGCCUCCUCUGCGUAGUAAUUCAGUUAUCCUCGCACUUGGAGCGCGGCGCGGCCACUGCCCGUAAAACGCCCAACUUCUCAAGAGUUGACCUCGAAUCAGGUAGGAAUACCCGCUGAACUUAAGCAUAUCAAUAAGCGGAGGA
rnacentral:misc_RNA from 1 species